UACGUAGGGUGCGAGCGUUAAUCGGAAUUACUGGGCGUAAAGUGUGCGCAGGCGGCCGAGCAAGUCGAGUGUGAAAUCCCCGGGCUUAACUUGGGAAUUGCGCUCGAAACUACUUGGCUUGAGUGUGGCAGAGGAAGGUGGAAUUCCACGUGUAGCGGUGAAAUGCGUAGAGAUGUGGAGGAACACCGGUGGCGAAGGCGGCAUCCUGGACCAUAACUGACGCUGAGGCGCGAAAGCUAGGGGAGCAAACGGG
rnacentral:rRNA from 1 species